rnacentral:rRNA from 1 species
UACGGAGGGUGCAAGCGUUAUCCGGAUUCAUUGGGUUUAAAGGGAGCGUAGGUGGCCUUAUAAGUCAGUGGUGAAAUCUUCGAGCUUAACUCGGAAAUUGCCAUUGAUACUGUAGGGCUUGAGUAUAGUUGCCGUUGGCGGAAUAUGACAUGUAGUGGUGAAAUACAUAGAGAUGUCAUAGAACACCGAUUGCGAAGGCAGCUGACGAAACUAUAACUGACACUGAGGCUCGAAAGUGCGGGGAUCAAAC